rnacentral:lncRNA from 1 species
ACAAGACAAGUCAACAGAGACAGAUGAACAAGGAGCAAUGGAAAUCAAUCAGAAGAGAGACAGCUAAAAUUAGAAAGAAACCAAUUUUUCUUCAGGUGAUUACAUGGCCUCUCCCAAUCUCAUGACCACCACAUUGGCAGAUAUCAUGGCCACUAUUCCAGAAGAUCACAUAGCUGAUUCAGGAGAGCUCCUAUUCACUCAGAUAGAUCUCAUGUCUACUCAGGUAGAACUAAUAGCUAUACAGAUAGACCACACCAUGACCUCUCAGAAAGUCCACUUCAUAACCAUUCAGAUAUAGUACACUAUGACUUCUCAGAUAGACCAUAUCAUGUCCUAUUAGUUAGACUACACCAUUAACCUCCCAGAUAGAAUGUAUCAUGACCUCUCAGAUAGACUGCAUCAUGAACUCUCAGUUAGACCACAUCCUGACCUCUCAGGAAUGCCACACCAGGACCUCCCAGUUAAACCACUUCAUGACCUAUCAGGUAGACAACCACAUGAUAAUUCAAGUAUGCCAUAUUAUGAGUAAGCAGUUAGACCAUAUCCUGACCUCUCAGGUAGACCAUACCAUGACCUCUCAGACCACACCAUGAACUUUCAGGUAGACCACUUCAUGACCUCUCAGGUAUACCACACCAUGACUGCUCAGAUAUACUACACCAUGACCACUCAGAUAUACCAUACCAUGACCUACCAGUUAGACCACAUCUUGACCACUCAGCCCACUUCAUGACCUCUCAGGUAGACCACAUCAUGACUACUUAGGUACACCAUGUCAAUACCACUCAGGUAGACAAACUCAUGAUAAUUCAAGUAGACCAUACCAUGAGUAAUCAGGUAGACCAUAUCAUGACCACUCAGAUAGACUGCACCAUGAACUCUCAGACUACUUCAUAACUACUCAGGUAGACCACUUCAUAACCAUACAGUUAGGCUUCAACAUGGCCAUUCAGAUAGAUUUCAUCUUAAGCAUACAGUGAGAGUUCUUCCCAGCCACUCAAGGAUAGCUCAUCCUGGCAAUACAGAGAGAGAUAAUCAAGUCCAAAGAGGGAGAGCUCAUGAUAACCAUACAUAGUUAGCUCAUCUUAUUAUGACAGCACAUUUCAUCAUGACCACUCAGGGAGAGCUUAUCAUGGUCAUGCAGGGAAAGCUCAAAACAACUAGUCAUGGAGAGCUCAUAACAACCAGUCAUGGAGAGAUCAUAACAUCCAGUCACAGAGAGGCCGUGACAACCAGACAUGGAGAGGUCAUAAUAAUCAUUCAUGGAGUGCUUGUAACAUCUGGUCACAGAGAGAUCAUUAUGACUGUUCAUUGAGAUCUAGUACCAUCCAGUCAUGGAUGUUUCAUGAAUCAGAAAGAUACCAUGGUUGAAGAGGAAGAAAUGGACCAAGGGAUGCAUCACCACCAGGAACUAAGACAGAAAUUGAUAG